rnacentral:rRNA from 1 species
AGUGAACGCUGGCGGUAGGCCUAACACAUGCAAGUCGAACGGCAGCACAGUAAGAGCUUGCUCUUACGGGUGGCGAGUGGCGGACGGGUGAGGAAUACAUCGGGAUCUACUUUUUCGUGGGGGAUCACGUAGGGAAACUUACGCUAAUACCGCAUACGACCUACGGGUGAAAGCAGGGGAUCUUCGGACCUUGCGCGAUUGAAUGAGCCGAUGUCGGAUUAGCUAGUUGGCGGGGUAAAGGCCCACCAAGGCGACGACCCGUAGCUGGUCUGAGAGGAUGAUCAGCCACACUGGAACUGAGACGCGGUCCAGACUCCUACGGGAGGCAGCAGUGGGGAAUAUUGGACAAUGGGCGCAAGCCUGAUCCAGCCAUACCGCGUGUGUGAAGAAGGCCUUCGGGUUGUAAAGCCCUUUUGUUGGGAAAGAAAAGCAGCAGGUUAAUACCCCGCUGUUCUGACGGUACCCAAAGAAUAAGCACCGGCUAACUUCGUG